AAUGAACGUUGGCGGCGUGCCUAACACAUGCAAGUCGAACGCGAAAGUCCUUCGGAUGAGUAAAGUAGGCGGACUGGUGAGUAACACGUGAGAAUCUGCCCUCUAGUGAAGGAUACCUCCGAGAAAUCGGAGUUAAUACUGCAUAAGUCCCUUCGGGGAGAAAAGUGGCUUAAUUGCUAUUGCUAGAGGAUGAGCUUGCGGUCUAUUAGUUAGUUGGUAGGGUAAAGGCCUACCAAGACUGUGAUGGAUAGUCGGCCAGAGAGGGUGUACGACCACAUUGGGACUGAGAUACGGCCCAGACUCCUACGGGAGGCAGCAGUGAGGAAUAUUGCACAAUGGACGAAAGUCUGAUGCAGCGACGCCGCGUGGAGGAUGAAGGUUUUCGGAUGUAAACUCCUGUUAAGCGGGAAGAAAGACCCAUUUCUAAUAAAGAUGGGGGAUGACGGUACCGCUAAAGAAAGACACCGGCGUAAC
rnacentral:rRNA from 1 species